AGAGAGAGAGAGAGAGGAAGAAGACUAAGAAUAAUAAAUGUGUACAAAUGAGAGCGAAAUAAUAGAGGAGAAUACACUAGGGAUACAUGCUUUCUUAUUUGACGAAGUGUUGCGAACUACAGUUCAUAACUGGAAAUUCUUAGUAAAAGAUUAACUUAGACUUAAUAAAGUUAAGAAACACUAUACUAGGGCCAAAUGACAAAUGCCCCUGUUUUGCAGGAAAUUACUGAAAUAAAACCAUAAAUUAGAAGCAUUUUGCAUAGAAAUUGUCCAAGUAUACGGCACAACAAAAGCUUCAAGUUUCCCAAUAUUAAAAAAAGAGUUGGAAAAAGCUACCAAAAUUUUUUCCCAUUGCUGAAUCAAUUAAACUUACAAUCAACCCCAUAUGUGAAAAAAUGUUCCUGAAUAACU
rnacentral:misc_RNA from 1 species